UGCGCCUGUGCGGAGGAGGAGGGCCGGCAGGUACCAGGCAGAGCUUCUCCGCUGGAGACCAGAUCCUUCUCCCGGCUACGAUCAGCCCAGGGAACCAGUUCCACGAAUACCCGUGAUGGAGGGGCCUGCGGCAGCGACAUCACUACAGUAGCUGGGUUUCCAUUAGUAACUCCGGAACCCUUGGGAUGGCUGUGGUCUUGAAUCUGGGCAGAAGAGACCCCAGCAGAAGCAAAACAAGUUCAACGUGGAGAGUGUCCCUAAGACAGCUUGGUUCUUGUUUACUGUCUAUUCUUUUCUUGAUAGAGCCUCUGCCACACAUCCCUCAGCUUCUUAUCCGCGGCCCACCUGGGGGUGGACCUCUUUUUACCACUAGGCAAUGAUGUUUAUGAAAAUAGCUUUUUUCUAGGCUCUGCUUUCCUGACUACUGGAAUUUUAUCAGAGAAUUGGUGGUAAUGGGGGAGGGGGGGAGAGUCUUGAAUAACAUUAAAAAAAAAUAUGUAAGAACCAUUGUCCUGAAAGGAACUGGAAAAAGCCAACUAAUAGUUUUUAUAAUUUCUCAAUUGUUUUCCUUUUUAUUGGUCUGAUAAUUAAAUAAUUGACAGUGCCUCCUCUCUACUCCGUUUUCAGGCAGAUUACUGCCAAGUGAGCAUAAUUUUUAUACUGGAUAUUUAUUUGAUGUUUAUUGUUAGGCAAAAGUAUAUAGUAUUUUAAUUUAGAAAGUAAUUUUAAAAUUUUCUUUCAUUUUAAAAAGCAAUUUAAAAAUGUUUCUGAAACUGUUAUUUUUUUUCUGCAAUCAUAAUUGUGGGAGAAUGUAUCCAAAAUGAGUUCCUGAAUGAAUUAGGUAUUUUUUUCUCUUUUUUAUUUUUCUGUACUGGGGAUUUAAUCUGUGACCUUCCCACUGAGCUAUAAACCCAAUCCCUUUUUAAUUUUUUUUUUUUUUAAUUUUGAGAGGGUUUCUCACUAAAUUGCCUAGGCUGUGAUCCUCCUGCUUCAGCUUCCUAGAGUGCUGGUUUACAAGUGUGUGCUAGUGAAUUUUAUAAGCAAAGAGUAACAGAAGUUUUAGAUGUAUUUUGAUGUAAAAUAAUAACAGUGCUUUAAAGGGCAUACAAAAAUAACUUUUAUGUGCCAGGUGUUAAUGACCAAGGCUUAGGAACGUGGAUUUAGGCUUUCCUGAAUGAUACCUUUCACCAUGAAAAGCAGUUACAUGAACUUUUACAGUCACAGAACAAAAGAAAUUGGGAGCAUUUGGUAGACGGGCUGCAGAAGUGUGGAAAUCUCUUUUAUAGGUUUAAAUGUUAUCUCAUGGCAUUCUUGACUUUAGCACUGGUAAACACUAGAGAUUUGCUAGGCUUAUGGAUAUAUUUUGAGAAGUUUUAAAGCCCUUAGAAUGGUUGUUCCGUUGCCAAAAAAACUAAUUAGCUAUUUAAGGGCCUAAGAUGGUCCAAAAUAAUUUUGGCUCUCAGAGUACAGUAUUGUCUCUCUCAAUUAUCAUCAUAUUCUAGCCAUCCAGGGUCUAUUCAGUCUGAGGAUUUUUAACAGAUAUGCAGUUUCUUAGAGAAUUUCAGUUCGUAGUAUCUAGAAUUGGGAUAAAAAAUUGCAAAUCAGUGGAAAAUGGCUUUAGGUCAGAAUAUGACACCUGUUUAAAUCUGUAUGUAACCGACUCGUUAUUCUACUUAUCACUUCUGUCUGAGUUACUUUUCUAACCCAUGUACUUAUACUUAUCUCAGUCACAGUUUUGGUAAGCCCACUAGCUAACGGUAGCCAGAAUGAGUAUAGAGAAAAUGUCACUGGGAGCAAUGAGAUAGGAAGUGACUCCCUAAGACUGCUAACAUUUAAAAGGAAAUACCAUAAGUCUUACUUAAAAUAUAGGUUCAUGGCAACAGGUGAUUUACAUUCUCUAAGCCUUCAUUAUGAAAUAUGUGUGGAUCAGGCACCCAACAAAGCCAUGAAACCUUUAAAACUGCUACAUGGGGACCAAGUGCAUGGCAUUAAAAGACAAGGCUGUGAAAUUUAAAAAAACUAACAUGAAGAACAGAAGGAAAUAUUGAAGGCCACCAUCAUCAACUGUGUGUGCCCUGAGAUCAUGUUUUUUGGUGGCAACUGUAUCUUGGAACCAAGAAGCUCUUUACUAUUCGUGAAAAGUUGAUCCUGCCUGCGGCUAAAGAUAUUUGUUGUGUGCAUUUAGGAGAGGCUGCAGUUUAACAGAUGAUUCCUCUUUUACCCAGUACCAUAACUAGAUGAUUUGAUGAAAUAGAGGAUAUGGUGGCACAAUUGUUAGAGGGGGUUAAUGAGUCACUGUGCUACAUAACCCAGGCUGAUGAAUCUAUUGGUGUUGAUAACAGGCAACCAUGCUUGACUUUUGUUUGAUAUUUUUCAGGAGAAUGGGCAUUGUCAUGGUUUAAGUAUGUGUCCCCCAGGCCUUAUGAGUUUGCAUUGUUCAUUUGUGAUGGUUCAUUGUGUAGUGCUUGGAUUGAUGGUGUCAGUGCUCCACCCACAUAGGGGUGGAGCCAGGAUGUGAUGUAAUGGCAGGAAGAAGGUAUAUCUUUCUCUUUGCUGGUUUGAGCUUGCUGUUUGCAGCCGCCAUGAACAGUGGUCCAGCCAUGCCCGCCUGUCUUGGAGCCAACUGAGUGUGGACUGAAACCUCCAAAAAUUGUAAGAAAUAAACCUUUCCUUUCCCAACUUUGGGCUUCAGGUAUUUUGUCUCAGCGACGAGUAAAAAGUAACUAAGACAGAAAUUUGGUACUGAGAGUGGGGUUGUUUGCUGUGACUAUACCUGACCAUGUUUUUCUAGAGGCUUUGGAAGUGGCUUGUGGGCGGAGUUUGGAAAGGUUUGGACAGGUCCCCUGGAUGCAUAGAGUUGGAGCAGCUUAGGCUGUUCUGUAGAAGAGAUUCUGGUCAUAGCUAUGGAGACCAGAAGGCUGAUAGAAAGCCUCAUGGUAAAGACCAAGCUUGGGAGGUUUCUGCUGGGAAGAAGGACUGCACUGGUUGUUGGACUCCACAUGAUGUGUGUUAUGGCUUGGCAGAAAGUUUGUCUGCAUUUUGCUCCUGCCCAGAGACUUUGCCUGAGACUGAGACAAAAGGCAAUGGACUGAUUAAUCUUGAAAAAGAAAUUAAAAAGCAAUUUAACAUUGAGGCUGUGGCAUGGCUAUUGUUGGGGCCUUUCAGCCAGCUUUAUGUUUCAAAUCAGGAGCAAAGAGCCCAGCAGGAUAAUGUACAGUCCUGUGAGUUUGGCCCGAAGGAAGAUUCCAGGAAGGGUGUGAAUUGUAAAGACAGAGUUGAGAUUUUGAUUCCUGAGGAGAAACAGAGAGAUAAGAUAGAUGGCCCCAGGGCAUCCCAGGAAGCAGGUCCCCACCCUGUGCAGCCUCACAACAAAGAUGAAAAAUUUUGCUCAGAGGAAAAAACUACAGAGUACCAUGCUCCAGAAUGGCGACAGAGGCCAAGUGAGGUUCCAGAAUGGCGGCAACACAGAGAAGCUUUGUCUCACAAUCAGGUAAACAGAGCCCUGCAAUCCAGGCAACUGACCCCUACAGCCAAGAGAGAGAAAAGCCUGGCUACCGCUUCAGCUAGCAGCAAACCUUGGCAGCAUCCACAACGUGCUGAUUUUAGGUGCAAGGGAAAAUGCACAAAUUCUGAGGGUAAGAAGGCUUCCACCUCGAUUGCAAAGGGCCCAGCUGGCCAUGCAGUGUGCCCCUGAGAGGGCAAUUUGUGAAGAUGUAAGGGUGAAGCUGAAGGUGCAGUGGAGACUAGUAUAGUCAUGCACACUUGAUCCUAGAAUCAUACAAUCCAGAUCUGGCCACCUCCAAAAAAAGAUCUGUGACCACAUGAGGCUUUCAGAGGGAACAUCUAGAUGCAUACAGUAAUAAUCAGUGAUAGGAUUUUUAAAAAUUUCAUUGGAUGGAAAAAAGUGAAACCAAAUUUCAUAACCAAACAAUAGAAGAAUAAUAGUUAAUACAUUGCAUAUUGUUGUUUUUAAAGUACAAAAACAUUCAGAGUACAAGAUAUGAAUAUUAAAAUAUAUUUCUCCAAUAAAUAAUAGUAAAAACCUUCCCUUUCAAUGAAUUGAAACACUAAUAGUCCUUUUCCCUAUCUCCAAUACUAGUUUCCUUUUCCCUUUGAACAAUUUUUCUCAUCUCAAAAUAUCUAUUGUACAUUUUAGACUAUAUUCACUUUUCCAGUUUCUCACACCAGGGAGACCGUGUGAUGAUUUAUUUCAUUUAUGAAUAUGAUUCCAAGUUGCAUCCAUUUUUCUACAAUUGUCUCAAAUUUAUCCUUCUUUAUGGUUGAGUAGUACUCCUAAACUCAUUCCUGGAAGCAAAUAUUACUGUAAUACAAAAGCCUGAGAAAGAACCAACCAAAAAGAGAACUACAGAGGAAUAUCCCUAAUGAACAUAGAUGCAAAAAUUCUCCAUAAAAUUUUAGCAAAUAGAAUGCAACAAAUCAUCAAGAAGAUUAUACACCAUUACUAAGUGGAAUUCAUCCCAGGAAUGCAGGGAUGGUUCAACAUACACAACUCAAUAAAUGUAAUCCACCAUAUCAGUAGAGCCAAAAGUAAGAACCACAUGAUCAUUUCUAUAGAUACAGAAAAAGCUUUUGAUAAGGUCAAACACUCAUUCAUGGUAAGAACCUUGCAGAUAAUUGGAAUAGAUGGUCUUUACCUCAAUAUGAGAAAGUCCAUCUAUGACAAACCAACAGCUGAAAUCAUAUUAAAUGACCAAAACCUGAAAGCUUUUACCCUAAAAUCAGGCACAAGACAAAGAUGUCCAUUAUCACCACUCCUAUUCAAUAAAGUGCUGGAAAUACAAGCCAGAGAAAUUAGACAAGAGAGAGAAAUAAAAGGAGUAAGGAUAGAAAAAGAGGAAGUUAAAUUAUCAUUAUUUGCAGAUGACAUGACACUCUACAUAGGACACCAUCAAAACUUCAUUGAAAGACUCCUAAGUAUAUUAACUAAAUUCAGAAAUGUAUCUGGAUACAAAGUCAACCCUCAAAAAUCAAUAGUAUUCCUAUACUAACAACAAAAUCACUGAGAGAGAAAUAAGAGAAGACCCUUCACAAUAGCAUCCAACAAAAUGAAAUACUUAGGAAUUAAUCUAACAAAAGAAGCAAAAGAUCUAUUCAGGGAAAAUUAUAAUAUCCUGAAAAAGGAAUUGAAGAGGACAUUGGAAAAUGGAAAAAAUCCCUGUUCAUGGAUAGGAAGAACAAACAUUGUGAAAAUGGCCAUUCUCCCAAAAUUCUUAUAUAGAUUUAAUGCAAUCCCAGUCAAAAUGCCACUAGCAUACCUCACAGAUCCAGAGAAAUCACUCCUAAAAUUCAUCUGGAGCCAGAAGACACCUAGAAUAGCAAAGGCAAUUCUAAGCAACAAAAGCAAGGCAGAAGGCAUCAUGAUCCCUGACUUGAAGUUAUAUUACAAAGGUAUUGUAAUAAAAUCAGCAGGUACUGGAAUAAAAACAGACCUGAAGAUCAGUGGAAUAGAUUAGAAGAUACAAUUUCAACUACAAACACACUCAGCCACCUUAUCUUUGAUAAAGGGGCCAAACAUGUCCACUGGAAGAAAGAUAGUCUCUUCAAUAAAUGGUGCUGGAAAAAUUGGCUCUCCAUAUGCCAAAAACUAAGACUAGACCCAUGUCUAUCACCAUGUAUUAAACUAAAGUCUAAAUGGAUAAAAGAUUUAAAUAUUAAAACAUUAACCUAAAUCUGUUGGAAGACCAAGUAGGUAGAAAUCUUGAAGACAUAGAGAUAGGUAGAGAAUUCAUGAACAAGAAUCAAACUGCACUCAAAAUACUUCACAGAACCAACAACUGGCAUAGCCUCCUAUUAAAGAGUUCUUGCAUGUCAAAAGAAAUCUCCAGCAUAGUGAAAAGAAAACACACAAAUUGGGAAAAAGUCUUAGUUAACAGUCCUUCAGACAAAGGACUUCUGUCCUGAACAUAUAAACAAUUAAAAAAAUCUGAUUCCCAAAAUUCAAAGACCCAAUCCAAAAAUGGGCAUCUAAGAUGAACACACAGUUCCCAGAUGAAGAAAUACAAAUGGCAAAUAGAUACAUGAGAAACUUCGGCAUCAUUGGUCAUUAGAGAAAUGCAAAUUAAAACCACACGGAGAUUUUAUCUUACUCCAGAAACAAUGGCAAGGAUAAAGAAAACUACCAACAACAAAUGCUAGAGAGGCUGGGAGGAAAAAGGAACUCUCCUGCACUGUUGGUGCGAGUGUAGACUGGUACAACCACUGUGGAGGUCAAUCUGGAAUUGGAAGCCCCAUUUGACCCAGCUAUCCCACUUCUAGGCAUAGUCCCAGAAGAACUGAAAACAUCAUACCACAGUGAUGUAUGUGUACCCAUGUUUAUAGCAGCACAAUUUGUAAUAGCCAGAUCUUGGAAACAACCUAAAUGCCUAUCAACUGAGGAAUGGAUAAAAAAGAUGUGAUAUUUUUAUACAAUGGAGUACUACUCAGCUAUGAGGAAUGAUCACAUGAGAUGGUUAUAAGUAAAUGAUGCAACUCUAGACCAUACUCAGAAGUGAAAUAAAUCAAACUCACAUGUGAAGUAUCAUAUAGUCUCCCUAGUGUAAGAAAUGGUAAGAAUACAUAAAAUACAAAAAACUUAAUAAAUAAUGUGAAAGGAUAAGAAUCUGCUAAAAGGGGAAUAAAUAAUAUCUCAGAGCAAAUGAGGAAAAGGAAAAAGGAAGGGUAAAGAAAAAUAUCUAAAAUUAUAUAAACACACUUAGUAUAGCUAAGACGAUUAUGCUGCAAAUUCUGUAAGUUCUUGGAACAAAAUAGUUAACAUUCAUAGAUUAGAACAAUUGUGCAUAUUAGUGUAUGGUGAUCUGAGGAACUCUUGAACAUCAUUAUGUAAAAUAAUAACCCUAAUUUUGCUCAUACUACCUUGUUUUGAAGGCCUACCUUGUCAGUGUUUGGGGCUCUUUGCUAUUGUUAUUUAUUUGUGAUUUUUUUGUGUGUUUUUCUAGGAAUUCAUUUUGUUUUGUCUUUCCCUGUAAUACAGAAAGAAUAAGUAUACAUGUAGAGAUUCAUACAUGUGUCGAACUUCUCCUAAACUGUUUAUGAGAAUUCAUGAUAUAAUGCAUGAUGAAAUGAACAGCUACUUUGAACAAAAAAGAGACACUAAAGUAGCCAGUGCUGAUUCCACAUUGUCAUGCUGAGAAGUCCAGCAAUACUAUUAUUCUUUGUUCAGAGUGAUUUUAGUCUGUUUUGUAUUGUUUAAUUUCAACAUAAAUGAAGGUAUGGACAGCUAUUUUGAAGGGAAUGAGAGACAUUAUGGCAGCCAAUGUUGACUUCCCUAUUGUCUGGUUUUUGACAACCUAAAAUAUUUUCAUCAUCUUGUUCUGAUCAGCUUAAUACUAUUUUGUUUUGUAUGAAUUCAUUGUGUGUGAAGAUAUGGACAACUAUUUAGAAGAAAACAAGAAACAAUGCGAUAGACAGUAAAGGUCUCCUGUUGUCUUGCUUUGAAAUCUGUGUCUGUUACAUUGUUUUCUUCUGCUCUGCUUUGCUCUGUUUAAUUUUACCCCACUUAAAAUAAAAUUUAAAAGAUGAAACUAAACAGAACAGAAUAGAACCAAUAAAAACAACACAAUGAGGAUUUGAAAAGAAGAUAAUAAUACAUCCAAAAUAACUAUCAUCAUAUAUCUUGCUAUGUUUGAAAUUGUUGCCCAUGUCAUCAGAUAUGUUAAAAAUCAGACAAGACAAAACAAAAUAAGUGCAAACUAAACAAAACAAUGAAGAUGAUACAAGACUUUUAAAACAAGAUAAUAGGGAAUUAAUAAUGGUUACCACUUUCAGAAAGUGCUCCCAAGUAGAUGCUAUACUGUGUAUUGUUAUCCUUUAAACAGAUGAUCAGAUUUCCAACUUUAGGCCUGCAAAUCAAUGAAACACUAAACACUACAACCAUUAAGUUGUAUUUAACCUCAAUAGUUAUUAUAUCAGCCUUUGUUUCUCCAGAUCAGCUGGUUGUUCAUGGUGUAUUGGUGGGGGGAAAUGGCUCUUCUUGUCUCUCAGCCUACUGUCAUCUGGUUGUGCUCCCCAUGGCUGACUCACAGGAAGUGGCUGGCUUCUUAUUCUCCUCCCUGUGCCUGUGAAUGGCACUGACUAACAAGAAGGGGCUGGCAUCUGGUUGUCCUCCCUGUGGCCCAUCCAUGUUCUGUCUUUCAUUUUCUGAUAUCCCCUUCAAACUCCUUUUUCAGAGUGGUUCAGUUUUCAGUAUAGAUCUUUUACUUCCUUUGUUAGAUUGAUUCAUAGGUAUUGCAUUUUAUUGAGUGCUAUUAAGAAAGGAUCCUAUAGUAUGUGUAAGGGUUCCUUGAUAAAUGAGCUAUAUUAUCAAACUAUGUUUUAAUGUUUAUGAUCAACAUAUGCUUGAAUCUAUUGAUUUAGCUAUUAUUGCCAGUAUAAAUUCUGUCCUCCUAAGGCAGUGACUGGUCCAACUCAAUUAAAUUGAAUAUGUCAAAGUGGUAGACAAUAUCUUUUGAAAACAAAAGCGAAGCUCAAUCACAUCACUGGAAAACAGAAAUUAACUAAAGAGAUUUUCAUGCCAACAACAAAACCUACACAAACUGCGAGUCAAAUAAAUAUUUCUUUCCUUAAAUUUGGGCAUUGAGUAUUUUGUCUCAGCAACUAGAGAAAAGUAACCAACACAGAAUUUGGUACCAGAGAGUGGGGUUGUUGUUGGACUACACCUGACAAUGAGGUUGAAGAAUGGCUUGUGGGAAGAGUUUGGAAAAGUUCGUAGAUGUUGUUUGAAAGCAUAGUGAUGAAGUGCUUUAGGUCAUUCUGUACUGGAGAUACUGUGUAGAACUCAGAAGAUUAGAAGGUUGAUAGAAAUUCUGCCAGUAAAGAUUAGGCUUUGGAGGUUUCUGCUGAGAGGAAGGACUACAAUGGUUGUUGGAGUCCAGAUGAUGUGUGUUAUGCCUUGGCAAAAAGUUUGUCUGCAUUUUGUUCCUGUUUAGAGACUUUGCCUGAGACUGAGACUAAGGGUGGUGGACUAAUAAAUCUGGCAGAAGAAAUUUCAAGGUAGUCAAAUGUUGAGGUGGUGGCAUGGAUUCUUUUAGAUGUUUCAGUCAGAUCUAUGUUUGGAAUCAAGAGCAAAGAGCAAAGUGCAAACAAGAUGAUUUGAAAUGUUGUGAGUUUAGCCAGAAAAGAGACUCUAGUACAACUGUGGACUACAAAGAUGAAACUGUGAUCUUGAUUGCUGAGAAGGAGGAGGAGAAUAUAAAAGAUGGCCUGAAGGCAUCAUACGAAGUAGCAAGUUUCCACUCUUUCCAGCUCUAAAACAACAAAAGGAAAGACUGGUUUAAGAAGAAAGCUGAAGAGCACCAGAUUCCAGAAUGGUAGCAGCAUAGAGAAUUUGUUCUUCAGAAUUGGAUUCUUAGUGCUCAGCAAUCCAGGCACUCAACUUCUAUCAAGCGAGAGAAAAGCCUCACUACUGUUCCAGUUGGCAGCAGACCUUGGCAGCAGUAUCCAUGUGGUGCUGAUUUCAGGCACAUGUAGAAUGCAAGAGUUGUGGGGAUAAGAAAGCUUCUGUCCUGAUUUCAGAAGACCUGGGAGGCCAAGUAGUGUGUAGCUGGGAGGGCAAUGUGUGAAGCUGUGAGUAUAAAGCUAAAAGCAAAGUGUAGUCCCCAGAACUUUGGAGGAUCCAAGAACAUGGUUCAUCUAACAAAAGGAGGGAGUAAAGUGGAUCUAUGUGAGGGGCCGUGGGAGCUGCUACCACUGGAAGUACCAAAGGGGUAGAGUCACCCAAGCCUUUUGGAGCUGACUACUCAUUACGGAUUACCUCAGAUGCUGCAUAUGGAACCACAGGACAUAAUGUUUUCCCUGCUGGAUUUUGGACUUGCUUUGGUCUCAAUUCUUUGUAUUCCCCCUGCUUGUAACUUUUGGAAUGAAAAUGUUUUUCUUGUAUAAUUGAAUGUUAGAAGUGUUUAACUUUUCAUUUGUAUUGGGGCUCACAGCUAAGAGUUUGCCUUUCAUCUCAGAGAAGACUUCAGUCUUGGAGUUUUCAGCAGGACUGAAACUGUUAGGACUUUGGCAACUCUUAGAGAUAGGCUAAAUACAUUUUUUUGGAGGGUACCAGGGAUUGAACUCAUGACCUUGUGCUUGCCAAGCCAGGUGUUUAUACCACUGAGCUAAAUCCCCAGCCCUAAAUACUUUUUAAUAUAAAGACAUAUGCAUGAGUCUUUGGGAGGUCAGGGGCAGAAUGUUAUAGUUCUAAUGUAAUAUAAUGUUGAUAGAGUUAGUAUCUGUUCUUAAUGAUUGUUAAACAUGUGUUACAAAGUUCAACUUAUGAAAUGAUAAGAAGAAGCAUGUCUUUCUAUCUGGAGACCAGUUUAAAGAAACAUGUCUGGUUGACAAGGGGUGGAUUGUAAUGGUUGAUACAUUGUGUCAACUUGAGAGGUUUUAGAAGCAUAACCAAGUGUGUUAGUAGUUCUACAUCUCAGGAUGUGGAAAAUAUGCCCUAGGAAGAGACAGGUGGAGAUUCUGAGUGGGUUGCCAAAGACUCUGUCUUUUCUAGGGACUUUUGUAGAGCAAAACCACAAAAUGAGGCAGGUAUAAGGUAGGGGAAACAUGAGAACUGACAAAGUGGGCAUGAGGUGGGACAGAACUAUGGCCAACCAAUGAGAUUAAUUGUUCAGGUAAAAUUGAUUAAAUCAGGAACAAACAGAGAAAUGAGUCAAGUAGCAAGAGGGGAUGUAUAAAGAGCAGUGACUCUUCCUGUAGGGCGGUGGGAUGGUGACUCCGGGCUUCCUCAGGGUGAUAAGACCUAUUUAUCAUAUAAAUUCCUAAUGCUUAUCCUUAGGAAGUAUGUGGGUGCAUUUGCUUUACCUUUUGUCUUGAGAUCUGGCCCACAGUGGAUGUGUCUGUCUCUCUCACAGUUGCAAGGUAUCUGGCUUUCUGCACUGGCUCCUUUGAGGACCAACCCCUGUCUGACUGCCUAUAAUAUUUCUAUCUAACUCAGUUGCCUGUAAUAAUUGGACCAAGAAUAGGUACCUGAUUGGAGCAGGACCACUGCAUAUUUUGACAUAAGAAUCUAUAUUUAUACUAAAUUUCAAAAAUUAAUUCUCUAUAUUUACACUGUUUCAAAAAUUCAAGUUCCUUUCAUAGAUAGGAAACAGAUAAAAAGGGGAAGAGAGGAAAAAGGAAAGAUGGGGAGAAAGAGAAACAUGCAAACAUUCAGAGAGGAACAGAUGAGGUGGAGAAAGGAUCCAGAUGAAUUUCUAAUUUCUAUUUUUAGAAUUUUCCUUAGGUCUGGUUCAUUCUUAUCCUGGAGAUUUAAAAAUAUUUCUGUAUGCUUUUCAUAAAUGCUCUCUUUCAUGAACAAGAAGCUUUACUAAGUUUUAUGUUACCUUAAAACCAAGAGGUUUGACAGAUAAGAACAGAUAAUGGAGAAGGGUAAUGAAAAACAUAUUUGGUUUUUCAUUAUGACUUGCAUAUCUUUUGGCCUAAAGAAAUGUAGUAGUGCUCUACACGAAGUAGCUCUCUUGUGCACAGCUCAAGACAUUGUUCUUUGGGAAUAUUUUCCUCUCUACUGUUCUUCAGGGACAUGCUGAGUAAUGUCAUCAUGCAGCUACAUUCCACUUUUGACUGGCAUCUGUGUGUUGAACCAACUUGUCCAUAACCUAUCCCUAAAGGAGGAUUGUCAUGAGGCUGAAGUAGGAUUGCCAUGAGCUCAAGGUCAGCCUGGGCUACAUAAUGAGUUCAAGAUCAACCUAAACUCACUGACACUCUCAAAAAUGAAAUGAAACGAAACAAAACAAAACCAAACAAAACAAACCCUCAGUUGGUUGUACGGCAACCCCUAAUAAAACAAUUGCUGUGAGCUGAGAGAGGCAUUUUGGUACAAAUUUGUUAGGGUGGUGGGUGACAUGGAAGUGUGAAUACUUGCUCAUAUAGCUUGCUUAUGCUUAUAGUUCUGCUCAUCCUUAGUAUUCCAGAUGUACUGUUUUAUCUUUGGGCAGAUUUCUGCUGAGCAUUUUGACUGUGAUUUGGGAUUGUCUUAUUGGACCCAACUUAUGAAUGGAAUUUCUGAAUAUCUCAAAAAAAAAAAAAAAAAACGGAAAACAACAAGCCAACCAAAUGUCAGAAAGGAGUGGAAUUAAAUAUUCAAAAUGCUGAGAGGGAUAAAAAAAAAGUCUAGAAGGGUAUAUGAGUUAUGUUAUUCCUCAAGAAUUAGGACAAACCAAAUAUGUUUUAAGAUACAUAAAGAGUGAAGAGAGUGUCCCAUCAACACAUUUUCACUAAAUUAUAACUACAGUAUAUGCCUCUCUUGUAUUAGUAACCCCCAGAGGAAGUCAUGAUAUAGAAUAAACAAUGGUAUUAUUAGAUAUUGACAAAAAUUCACUCAGAAAUUCAAUUUAGUUGAAUUAAUUACUAAAAAUAACUUCUUUUUGUCUUUUUUUUUUUAUCGGUACCGGGGAUCAAACUCAUGACUACCUGCUUGCAAGGCAGGCGCUUAUGCCGCUGAGCUAAAUCCCCAGCCCCUAAAAAUGACUUCUCAUUUGUAUUUGUGAUUAAAUAAAAAGUAAAAUUUAAGUUUAGACAAUUAUAAUAAAAGAGGAUGAUGUUCAUUGAAUUUGGUUAAACCAUUUGAAAAUCCUUAAAUUGUUCAGAAAGAUACCAGAGGUUCUGAGUCACCUUAAACUUUGUCAUAAUACUUUGUACUUAACUAUGAAAAAUAUAUUAGUAAAUAAAAACUAAAAAGAAGCAGAAAAGAAGUUUCCCAAAGGUCAGAGGAAGAGUAAAGUAGCACAAUGUUGUAGAAACACAGUUUGUAAAAUUUCCAGAAAAUGUUGAUCUGUAAUGUGAAAUUACAGUGAUAUAAAAAAAUGAGGAUGGACCUGGUGAACAUGAUGAUAAGAUCAUUAGUGACUUUUCAAAGAAAAUUUUUUCACUGGGAACUGGAAAAUAAAGGGUUAAGAGAUGAGUGAGUGACUGGAAAAAGGAGAAAGAGAUAUUUGGUAUUAUAUUCUAUGGUCUAUAAUGAGCUUUUUCUUUUAAAGUAGUUUGAUCUAGAUUUUCCAUAAAUGAAGUAACAUUGAAUCUUAUCCCACAAAUUCUCUUGACACCCUAAAUAGCUCUUGUUCUUGCCUUUGUCAUUAUUUCCAGGUUUUGAUCUUGCUUUCUUCUGGGCUGCAGAUAUUUAUCCUCCAGAACCUUAAAUGCUACAGCUGAUGGGAAAAGACUCCAGGUAUCUCUAAGAAAUAAGAGCUAUGGACAAAAGAAACCUGAAUCAAAACCUGUCAUCAGUUCUUGUGACUGCAUAAAGGGUGGUGGUGUCUGCAAGGGGAGUGUAAGGACACAUGCCUUUGUUCAGUAAACUGACUAGCAAUGCAAGACCAGGACAAUGAUUGGCCCCAGGAGCCUGUGUGCACACACAGCGUUGGAAGGCAGAGUAAUCAGAGAGACCAGCAAUGUGGAUGCCUCUGAAGCAGCAGUGAGAAGCCAGCAAUUGAACUCUGGAGAACUCUGCCAACAGAAGACCAGCCCCAGUCACAUCCAGAGGCCAAGAUCCAUUUCAUAACCACCACAUUUCUGGGAUCUAACAUGAACACUAUCACAAAACUUUAAACAACAGAGGUAUUUUAGUACUUUUUUUCUGUCUGAUUUGCUAUCCCAUUCCUAUCUGGUUGGAUGUCAUCUUUUUUUGUUUUGUACUUGUGGUUAUUUUUGUAGUUGGUUGUCUUUUUCUAUCUUUAUAUAAUCUGGCUUUUUUUUUCUUGUCUUCUUUUUUAUUCUCUUUUUCUUCCAUCUAAAUGAGAAUGCAGAAACAACAUACUGUAACUUAAGGGACACAAUGAAAGCAAUUCUAAGAGAGAAAUUAAUAGGGGUGAAUUCUCACAUCAGUAAAACAGAGCAAGCAAAAAUAAAUGACCUAAUAUUGUACCUCAAGCUUCUACAAAAAGAAGAGUAAGACAAAUCCAAAGCCCACAUAAGGGAAGAGGUUAUAAAGAUCAAAGCAAAAAUUAACAUAGUGGAGCCUAAGAAAACAACACAGAGAAUUAAUGAAUUGAAGAAUUGCUUUUUUGAAAAAUAAAUAAAAUUGAUAAACCCUUAGCUAACCUCUUAAAAAAGGAAAAAUGAUUCAAAUUCAUGCAUUGAGGAUUGAAAAGAGUGAAAUAACUACAAAUUCUGUCAAAAAAAUUUCAGAAGAUCAUCAAUACCUACUCUGAAAAGCUUUACUCUCAUCCAAUGGAAAAUAUAGAAGAAAUUGACAGAUUCCAAAAUACUCAUUAAAUGCCAAAGUUGAAUCAAGAAGAUGUAAAACUUGUGCAUAACACAAUAUCAGUUAAUGAGAUUGAAGGUAUAAUUAAAAACUUACCAACAAAGAAGAGUCUAGAUCCUGAUAGAUUCACUGGUGAAUUCUACAGGAAAUUUAGAGAUAUUAUGUCAGAUUAUUUACAUAUAUUAUGUUUUUUUUGUGUGUACUGAGAAUUGAACUCAGGGCCUUUACUUGGCUACAAACCCAAGCCUUUUUAAAAAAUUUUUGAGACAUCUCAGUAAUUUGCUAAGUUGCCAAGACCAGUUUCAAAUUUGUCAACCUCUUGCCUCAGACCAGAGUGCUAAGAUUAAAGUAUUAGAUUUUUGAAUCUUGACAUAAUCUUCUGAGAUAGAUCCUUCUUUUAAAGAUGAGAAGAGUGAAGGUUGGCAAGGUUAAAUGAUAUGCUAUGUUUACAAGCAUAAGUAGCAGUUGAGUAAAAGUUUCACUCUCAAAUUUUAGUUUUUAAUUGAUGUGGUACAUGGUUUUUUUUUCAUAAGGAUUUUUUCUUUUUUAAAUUUUUACUUUGAAGAGAAUAAAACCAAAUGAGAAAAAACAAAAUGGGGUUAGUCAAAACAAAAGAAUGGACAUAGUACAUGACUUAAACCCAAAGGGCAAGGUGAUCUACAGUGGUUACCAUGAUGUAUCUUAUUAUUUUCAAUUGAAUUGGCCAUAUUAUCAGGCACAAUCAGAAUAGAAUCAAUAAAAACAAAACAUUGGAGACACUAUAGGACUUCAAAAAGAUAUUAGUUAAACCAGAAUAGGGAUUAUAGUGAAUCUUAUUGUCUCUAGAGUAAUUGCCUAGACUCUCAGACUUGAUACUCUCAAACAUAACAGAUUCUAAUAAAAUCAGUCAAGAUAAGAGUAAUCAAACAAAACAGAUUCAAAUAAAAUCAGUCAAAACAAGAAAGUGAAAGCAAUGCAGAUUAAGUUAAUGGGAAAUUAAAAAUGGUUACCGUAGUAUAUUCUGCUAUCUUUGGGAUAACUGCCCAUGCCAUCAAAUCCAGUACAAGUAGACAAACUGGAACAGAAUAUAACCAAACUAAAGAGAGAGAUGAAAACAAUAUGGGUUUCAAAUCAUGAUACAAGAUUAACAAUGUCUUCUGCUUUCCCUCUUUAGACAGUUCCUCCCCUUUCACUUUCACAGGGUGCGUUGUACAUUUUGUAUCCCACUAACUCCUUUAGCUUUUAGAUUAGAGAGGCAACCUGCUAUUUACCUACAUGGUUCUGAACCUUUUUACCCUGAGCUUGAUCUUAAGUUGUACCCAUUUACUUACAAGAGCCUCAAAUUUUUUUCCUUAUAGCUGAGUAGUUCUCCACUGUAUAAAAUUAUUAUGUCUUAUGAACCAAUUCGUAGCUGAAGGGCAAGGUAUGCCCACUUUUUCCUUGUUCCCUGUCAUAUAGAGCAUUAUUUUCUCAUCUUUGACUUUCAGCCCAUAAACCUGCUUUCAGGUUAAUUAUAUUUCUUAUAUAGAGCAUCUUGAUGGACCCCAUCUCCUGAUUCACUCUGCUUGUGUUUGUUUUUAUUGGUGUAUCGACUCUAUCCAUGUUAGCAAUUAUGGCCAACCUUCUCUGCCUCAUCUGUGGCAUGUUAUUUUUCUGCCAUUUUUGUCUGCUUUUCCCUCUUCAUUCCAAUGUCUGCCCCAUUCAGUGAGCCCCCUCUGCCGCUAUUCCUGAAGCCAUGGUCCUUUUUCUCUCUCUUCAGAAUGUCCUUCAAUAUUUUUUGUAGGGUUGAAUUGGUGGUCAUGAACUCCCCAGUUCCUCUUUGUCAUGGAAACAUCUCGUUUCUCUUUUAAUCUUGAGAGAGAGUUUUUCAGGGUACAUUAAUCUGGGUUAGAGGUUAUUUUCUUUCAGGGCUUGGAAUACUUCACUCUAAGCUCUUCUUGAUUUGAUGGUUUGUGUUGAGAAGUCUGUCCUGAUUCUGAUGGGUUUUCCUUUAUAGGGUAUCUGUUUCUUUAACAGCUUUUAAUAUUCUGUUCUUGUUUGAAUUUCUGGGAUCUUGAUUAUUAUAUGUCUGGGUAUAGAUCUAUUUUGGAUAUAGCUGGCUAGAGUUCUGUAUGUCUCAUAUAUCUGAAUAUCAUUUACUUUUCCUAUGCUUGGAAAGUUUUCUUUAAUUAUUUCUGUGAAUAACCUUUGUAUUUCAUUUGUGUUUACCCCUGCUUCUUCACUCACAUUUUUUAUUCUUUAUUUUUUAUUUUAUUUUAUUUUUAAAAAAAUUUAUUUAAGGAGAAAAAAGAGAAAAACAGAAAAGGGUACAAGUUAUACAGAAUUUCAGAAAAAAUAAACAGUAGGAAAUCACUAGUUAAUAGAUUACAUAUUGUCAUCUUAGAAAUAGUUGUUCAAGUUACAAAAUUAAAGCAUAUAGAGUGGACAUUCAAACAGUGAGACUGCAAACAGUUCUGUUCAGUGAUCCAAUAAAACUCAGCAAUAUGGUUACCUAUCUUAUACACUUAAAUAUACAUGCAUUUAUGUCCUUUACAGCACUUUCUUUUCCUCUCUUUUUACAAUGACAAUUACACAUUUUGGGUUUUAUUAUUCUCACUGUUCUUAUUACUUUUUUUUGAAGAAAGUAAAACCAAAUUUGACAUAAUAGGACAGAGUCAGUCAAAUCAAAAGGAUGGACAUAAUACAUAAUGUAAAAACAAAAUACAAGGUGAUCAAUGAUGGUUACCAUAAUGCCUCUUGCUAUCUUAAAAAGAAUUGCCUAUAUCAUCAGUUAUAAAAAAUUGAACAAAACAGUAAAGAACAUAAUCAAUAAAACCAAAACAUGGGAGACAUUAGAGGGCUUCAAAAGAAGAUAGUAGUCAACCAGAAUGGGUGUCAUAAUGAAUCUUAUUGUCUUCAUAGUUGUUGCCUAUACUUUCAAACUUGGUACUAUCAAGCAAAACAGAAUAGAGGAAAAUCAGUCAAAACAAGAUGGUGAGAGCAAUACAGGGUUUAAAUUAAGUUAAUAGGAAAUCAAAGUGGGUUACUAUAAUAUAUCCUGUUAUUUUUUAUUUAUUUUUUCCUUAAUUAAAAGGAUAAAAAUGAAAAAGUAAAUAAUAAAAAAAGGAGAUUGAGAUAAAAGAGGACAUAACAACAAAACAGCACAGGUCAAAACAUAACCAUUUAAGCAAAAUAGUGUUUCACCACAAGAUAAUCCCAACAUAAAAGUAGUUACCAUAGUGUCUCUUCCCUUAAAAUCUUUGAGUAUAACUUGAUAUACUGUAGCAUCAAACAUAUCAAGACAAUGUCAAAACAUUCAAGAGAAUGACAGUACUACAGGGUAUUUUAGAAUCAACUAACAGAAAAUGAACAAUGCUUUCUGUAUAAUCUCCUUAUCUAUAAAAGUUUUUGUUUAUAUUGUCACAUAUAAUAAAAUCCAAUAGAUACAACAUGUUAAGACCGAUGGAGACAGAAGAACAAAAUCUUGAUGGGACUUCAAAACAAGAUGAUAUUAAGUCAGCACUAGCUAUUAUGAUGUCUUGUUUUCUCUAAAAUAGCUGUUCCUACCAUCUAACCUCAUCUGCCUCAUUUCUGUUGUGCUCUUUUUCUGUCAUUAGUUAUCAGUUUGUCUUCUUCAUUUCACUUUCUGUUCCAUUCAUUGUGGCCUCUCUGCCACUGUUUCUGGAAUCUUAGUAUUUUUCUUUUUUAGAAUAUCCUGCAGUAUUCUCUGUAGAGUUGAAUUGGUGGUUGCAAAUUCCCCUAGUUCCUCUUUAUCCUGGAAGCACCUUGUUUUUCCAUCAAUUUCUAGGGACAGUUGUGCAGGAUAUAUCAACCUUGGCUGGAGGUUAUUAUCUUUCAAAGCUUGAAUUAUUUCUCCCCACACUCUUUGUGAUUUGAUGGUUUGUGCCGAGAAGUCUGCUGUAAUUCCUGAUGGGUGUUCCCUUGUAAGUGAUCUGUUUCUUGUCUCUGACAGCUUUUAAUAUUCUGUUCUUAUAUUGAAUUUCUGGAAUUUUGAUUAUUAUAUGCCUGGGUGUAGCUCUGUUUGGGUGGCUGGGGUCCUGUAUGCCUCAUACAUCUGAGUAUCUUUACCUUUUGCUAAAUUAAGGAAAUUCUCCUGGAUUAUUUCUGUGAAUAGCUUUUGUAGUUCAUUUGUUUGUAUCCCUACUUCUUCUUUUAUGUUCUUAAUUCUUAAGUUAUAGGAUCCUCUUAUCAUCUUCUAGCCUUUGUAUUAUUGCUGUUUGUUUCCUUGUUAUUUUUAAGAAAUUUUUCAUUUCAUGCUCCCACCUUACAAAUCUGUCCUCCAGUUCAGAUAAUCUAUCCUUAGUUUAUUUCAAGCUGUUAUGCCAGCUUUCAAUAGAGUUUUUAGUUUCCUGAUAAUCUCUUUGAACCUGCUUCAUGUAUUCUGUUUUCUCUAUUUUCUCCAUCAAACAAUUCUCUCAUUUUUUUCUGUUCUUCCAUUUCACCAUCUGUUUUUUUCUUGGGUGGUGUUUAGUAUUUCUCUAACUAUUCUACUUAUUUCUUGCUUUGUUUCAUUAAAUACUUCAUUUUUGAACUCGUGUAUGAAGCUCUGGAGAUAUCGCUUUAUGUCUAUUGGUGCCGUGUCUGAUAUUGCUUGUUUUCUGUCUUCAUUCUCCUUUGUAUUUACCUUUCCUGGAUCAGUGUUCUCAGGAUUGGGGACUGAGGACCUUUCUUAUUGCUCCCUCUUCCCAUACUUUUUGUUCUUUCUAUAUAAGCAUAUAUAGGAGGCCCAGUUUUUUUCUUUGUCAGUUACAGUUUGUUUGAAUCCACUGGCUAGGUGUUCCUGCCCACUGCAGUGUACUAGGGAGACACAGACCUGGGCAGUCUCUGCUGGGCCCACCCUUCCAGGUCUACCUACUGAAGGCUUCACUGCUAGGAUGCACCACCAGGUGCUGGGACCUGGUUUGGGCUAGCCUACUGGGUCUUAGUCCACAGCAUCACCCAGGCCAAGCGCUCCUCACCAAUCUCACUUGAGAGGGGAAUAUGCGACUAAAGUCACUACAGCAUACUGUUCUGGCUAAUCUUCCCAGUCCCAGAAUGUCCUCUGUUGGAGUCCCCUAGUCUAUGAAAGGGUCCCUGUUCCUCUCACUCACUGCAGGUUGAUGCAGGGAUCCCUGCCAGUCCCACUCUCAACUCUGUUUGGUUCACCGAUUCCCGCUCUCAGAGCUUUUGUGUGUGCCCUCUUUCCCUGCUGUGCCAAUUGGGAUGCAGCAGUGGCAGCAGGAAAUUCAAAUCAUGGCUUCCAGAAGUGCAGGUUCCAGCUUCAGCACUGAGAUUUUAUCUGUUCCUGUUAUAGCAUCAGGAUUCCAUUUCCAGUUGGUUUCUCUCAGCUUAGUUUGUUCCUAGGUCGGUAGGGUAUAUGUCCCCCUGCUUAGGACUCCUCACACCACACCAUUCCUGUAUUUUAAGCUGGCUUUCUCAGAGAGCCUCCAUAGCUGCUGUUAUCUGUCCACCAUGUCCUCCCAGAAGUCUUUUAUUCUUAAGUUAUGGACCUUCUUGUCAUGUUCUAGCCUUUGUAUGGUUACUUCCUGGUUCCUUGUUCUUUUUAAGGAGAUCUUUCCUUUUGUGAUCACAAGUUGCAAACCUGUAUUCAAGGUUUUAUAGUCUCUCUUUAGUUUCUUUCAAGCAGUUUUGCCAGCUUUCAAUGAAGUUUCUAAUUUCCUGGUAAUCUCUUUUAAUCUGUUUCAUGUAUUCUAGAUUUGUAAAAUAUUCUUCAUUGAAGGUUUCCCUCCUUUUUCUAUGCUCCUCCAUUCUUCCAUCUGUGUCUUCUUGAGAGGUGCUUAUCAUUUGUUUUAUUAUUUUUCUUAUAUCUUCUUUUACUUGUAUUAGUACUUCUGUUGUAAGUUCUUUUAUAAUUUCAUGAAGAUAUUUCUUUAUGUCAGAUGAUGUUUCUUCAGAAACUGCAGGUGUGAAACCCCCAAUCUCUUAUGUAUUUACCUCUCCUGGAACAUACUGUUUGGAUUGGAGGCUAGAGACUUCCUUUUGUUUCUUCCUCUUGUCAUGUUUCUGGUUUCUUUCAGACAAGUGUAUAGUGGGGGACCCUGGCACUUAUAUUUUCUCUGUAGCAUGCUGGCUAGGGAUUGCUGCCUCCCCAGUCUGCUGGUGAUUGCUGGAGCACAAGCAGGGUAGGGUAGGCUGGUUCCUCCCUUCUGAGCUGGUCAAACCCUGCGAGUCUUCACCACAUUAGUGUAUGCUGUGCAGUCAGGACUGGUUGAGGAUAGCAUCAGGGAAAUCUUGGUCUUAGCUACUGGAUUGAGCACAGGGGUAGGACUCAGUCCAAGCAAUUCUCACCAAUGUGCUCUGUGCUAAGAGUGGUUGACUGAAGCUGGCUGCAGUUCUGGUUCCAGGCUUAUUCUGCCCAACUCCAAAAUGUUGUCUGGCCAAUUGCCCACUCCUGUGGGAGGACUGAGUUCUCCACACUCACUGCAAACUGGUGCACUUCUCUGGUCUGCCACAUCCCCUGUGACCACGUCCUCACACUGAGGCCCUUGGGUUUGCCAACUCCCAACUUCACCAUGACUGUGAGUGUUCAGAUUCCAGUGGUGUUUCACAGAUAGUGAGACUGGCUCUGGUGAGAGUGCAUCUGGUUACAGCCUUCUGUCCACAUUUUUCUUUUCUUUUCUUUCUUUUUUCUACUUAGUUUCUUCCUGGUUGAGAGAAUCUAUCUCCUUCUGUCUGGUCUUCUCCAGGAUGCUAUAUUCCAACAUCUGUGCUGUUUCUCUCAGAAAGGCUUUUUACUUUGCUGCUUUUGAUCUGCCAUCUUCCCCCAAAUCCCCUGCUACAUGGAUUUAAAUGUUGGACAAAAUGGAGAAGUUUCAGGUUAUCUUGAUUACUUUUCGCUCAUUGCUGAGACAAAGUACUUGAUACCCAAAAUGAAGAAAGGAAAGGUUUAUUUAGCUUAGAGUUUUUGGAGGUUUCAGUCUAUACUCAGCUAGCUCCAAGGCAGGAAUGGUGUGGCUGAAGGGCAGACAUCAUGGUAGCUACAAGUGACAAGCGCAAAAGGCAAAAGAGCAAAGCAUGCCUGCUUCCUUCUCUUAUGUAGUAUGCUGGCUAUCCACUCCUCAGCAGAUGCAUUACUCACCCUGCCAAUCCCAGCACUAUACCACAAACCAAUCACAAAUGCUAGAUUCAGCCAUCUCCAUGACUGCAUGAGGCUUGGGGUGGCCAUCGAAACAUAAACUAUAAUACAGAUAUUAGCCAGCUACAUUGUCAGAUUUUAACAGUCUUUAUUCCUUCAGACAACUCUGUCUUAUUCCUGUAAUGUGCUUCUUUUUGGUUUCUAUUCAUGUAUCUCUUGUUCAUGUUUUCAUCUAUUUCAUAAUUUGUUUGUAUGCUGUGCUUUUCAUCUCUGCUCUAAUAAAGACCUUUCUUACUGAAAA